ACUUAUUUUACAAUGACCUGUGAUCCUAUUUUGUGAUAUCAAGUGUUUAAAACCUUUGAUAUUUGACAAACUUUCCAAAAUUGGAUUAUAAAUUAUGUCUUUUUUCUGACCUAAUUAGUCCUUUAAGAUAUUUAGGUUCCCUAAAGUCCAAAAAAAACCAUAAUUUGGCUUAUUUGAUACAAAAAUUAUACAGGAAGCAUUGUCAAAUAUGAAAUGGUGUUGGGUUUUCUUUGAGCUAUUUUUGUAUAAAUAUGUUAUUGGUAUGUGUUCCAAAAUUAGGGAAAACUAUAAUUAGGAUAUAAUUUAGUGUACAUUAUCAGUAAUAAUCAUAAUUGUUAUGUUAAAAUUACAGUGUGCCACAGAAGUAACAAAUUUCUUCAUCAAUUAUGUCUUUGACUAUGGUUGCCCUAAGACUUUGUCCAUCCAUGGACAAUUGUCUUGUUUUGUUCUCUUUAGAAGGUGGUCUUAUAAUCAGCUAUAAAACUAUAAUAGGUGCUCUUGAAUGGAGGUUUCUGAUAACUUUGGAGAUUGUGACAUUAGAAUAGAAGAAAAACUUUCAGGACUCAUGGAGAGCUAAAACGUUCAUGAGUAUCAAGCAGAACAGGAAUUAACUGCCUGGACUGAACUAAUCUUAUUGACUUUUUGCUUAAAAUGUUUGCUGAUCCUUUGUUUUGUUUUUCAGAGCCUUAAAACUUUUCUUUUGAGCUAUUGACAGCUUUUAACAGUUCAGUAUAAUUCUAUGAACAAAAUUUGGAGCAUAUUUGUUUCUCUCUACAUAAUUUCUCCAGAAUUUGGAAACUAUUUGCACAGAAGCCCCAGGUUUAUCUUGGAAUGUCAACAGGAGAGGAAAUUCACUCAACUCACAGGUAUUUGAUGACACAUAUCUAUGGCUGGGCUUGGCUUUAAAAAGUCUUACCUGAGAUUCCUCUUAUGGAGGAAGUUCCACCAAAGCCAAUUUAAAAGCCUGUGUAAAAAAUAAUUAUUCUCGCUGCACUGUAGGCAAAUAAUUAGGCCAAGUGUAAUAAAGCAAACCAGUUCUAGCAUGAUUUAUCUUUAGUAAAAAUGGGAAACUGGAGAAAAAUUUUUUCAAAACUAUAGUACACCUGUUGUUAGAUUCUAGUCUUGCCUAAUGUUUUUUCAAUUUUUAUUAUUUUCUACAGUUUGAACCAAAUUCUAAUUUUUCUUGGCUACAAGUCUUCAAAAUAAUAUUUUCAGGUUUUUUCUUUUUUUUCCAUUUUGCCCAAUUUGGAGUCACUGAAAACUCAGCUGUGCUUUCUUAAAGCCCUGUGAACUGAAGCUAAACAACUCAAACCUCAGAAGAAAAUAACAGUAACCUAUUUACAUACAUAAGCCACUUUCAUACCUGCCUACUAAUGUAUGAACUUUAGAGUAAUGUGGCCUAUCUCAAUUUUUCCAGGAUUGUUCUUUUGUUUGUUGUUGUUUUUCUCCCUUCCUCCCCGCAUUUUCUCUUUAUAGGACAUGAGACUUCACAACCUGCUAAAAAUGGGCUUUUGAGGCCUACCCGUCUAGGAAUAAACUGUCCUUGCCAUGAGAGAUCAGAUGAAACCUGAGACCAGAGAUUCACUUUCUUCUAAAAUGCUUUCUCCAAAAGAUUUUUAAAAAGAAAAGGGGGGAAAUGUGAAAGGAAAAUAUCUUGGCCCCCUCAAGCUGGGAACCACUCAGGGCAAACCUGUCGCCCAUUCUAUUCAAAGUCAUCCCUCUGCUCACAGAGAUAGACGCAUAUUCUGAUUGCCUCCUUUGAAAAGACUGAUCAGAAACUCAAAAGAAUCUCCCAUAGAUCUGUGACCUGGAAACCUGGGGGUGCGAGGGACGGGGUGGGGCGAGGGUUGCUUUGAGUUGUCCCCGCCUUUCUGGACGGAACUAAUGUACUACUUACAUAUAUUGAUUGAUGUCUCAUGUCUCCGUAAAAUGUAUAAACACAUGCCUGUGCCCCGACCACCUUGGACACAUGUCAUCAGGACUUCCUGAGGCUGUGUCACGGGCCCGUCCUCAACCUUGGCAAAAUAAAUUUUCUAAAUUAACUGAG
rnacentral:lncRNA from 10 species